ACGCGUAUGCAACCUGCCUGUAACAGGGGAAUAGCCUCUUGAAAGAGAGAUUAAUGCCGCAUAAUACGAUAUUCGGGCAUCCGGGUAUUUUUAAACAUUUAUGGGUUACAGAUGGGCAUGCGUUUCAUUAGGUAGUUGGUGAGGUAACGGCUCACCAAGCCGACGAUGAAUAGGGGUUCUGAGAGGAAGGUCCCCCACACUGGUACUGAGACACGGACCAGACUCCUACGGGAGGCAGCAGUGAGGAAUAUUGGUCAAUGGACGCAAGUCUGAACCAGCCAAGUCGCGUGAAGGAUGAAGGUAUUAUGUAUUGUAAACUUCUUUUGUCAGGGAAUAAUGGGUGUCACGUGUGACGCAGAGGAAUGUACCUGACGAAUAAGCAUCGGCUAACUCCGUGCCAGCAGCCGCGGUAAUACGGAGGAUGCGAGCGUUAUCCGGAUUUAUUGGGUUUAAAGGGUGCGUAGGCGGUUUGUUAAGUCAGUGGUGAAAGUUUGCGGCUCAACCGUAAAAUUGCCAUUGAAACUGGCGAACUUGAGUACAGUAGAGGUAGGCGGAAUUCGUGGUGUAGCGGUGAAAUGCUUAGAUAUCACGAAGAACUCCGAUUGCGAAGGCAGCUCGCUGGACUGUAACUGACGCUGA
rnacentral:rRNA from 1 species